AACGAACGCUGGCGGCAGGCUUAACACAUGCAAGUCGAGCGCCCCGCAAGGGGAGCGGCAGACGGGUGAGUAACGCGUGGGAAUCUACCCAUCUCUACGGAAUAACGCAUGGAAACGUGUGCUAAUACCGUAUACGUCCUUCGGGAGAAAGAUUUAUCGGAGAUGGAUGAGCCCGCGUUGGAUUAGCUAGUUGGUGGAGUAAAGGCCUACCAAGGCGACGAUCCAUAGCUGGUCUGAGAGGAUGAUCAGCCACACUGGGACUGAGACACGGCCCAGACUCCUACGGGAGGCAGCAGUGGGGAAUAUUGGUCAAUGGGCGCAAGCCUGUUCCAGCCAUGCCGCGUGAGUGAUGAAGGCCCUAGGGUUGUAAAGCUCUUUCACCGGUGAAGAUAAUGACGGUAACCGGAGAAGAAGCCCCGGCUAACUUCGUGCCAGCCGCCGCAGUAAGAC
rnacentral:rRNA from 1 species